UACGAGAGGCCCCAACAUUAUUCGGAAUUAUUGGGCUUAAAGAGUUCGUAGGCGGCGUGGUAAGUAGGGUGUGAAAGCCCUCGGCUUAACCGAGGAAUUGCGCUCUAAACUACCGUGCUUGAGGAAGCUAGAGGUGAGCGGAACUGAUGGUGGAGCGGUGAAAUGCGUUGAUAUCAUCAGGAACACCGGAGGCGAAGGCGGCUCACUGGGGCUUUUCUGACGCUGAGGAACGAAAGCCAGGGUAGCGAACGGGAUUAGAUACCCUAGUAGU
rnacentral:rRNA from 1 species